rnacentral:lncRNA from 1 species
UCCUUUUCUUUUUGGUUUUAAAAAACAAAUUAAAUGGCUUCAUUUAAGAAAAGGGCUCUGCCCAUUAACCUGAUCCAUGCACACAUUUUUACCCUAAAUGGGUAAAUUCCACAUAUGGUUCCUCACUUUUGCAUUAUUAUGUGAUUGGGCCCUUUUUGCAUGUCUUUUGUUUUUUAAAUUUUCCCUGUGAUUUAUGUGCUGUUACGGUUUGGUCCAUGUUGAAAUGCUACGUUCAGGGACAUGGGAUAAUUUCAUUUUUAGUCCCUAUAAGUUUGCGCGCAUUGUAUUAUAUGAGCCUUAACCCCCUGAGUAGUAGGGUAACAGGCUAAAAAUUGCAGAUCUUGUCUCCAUGUGUCGGCUAUGGAGCAGAUCAAAAAUAGCGAUUCUUAUCUCCAUGUAUCGACUAUGGAGCAGAUUUAAGCCAUCGGCCUUAUCUCUCUGAGAUAACAAGAGAGCAGGUUAAAGAUACGAGCCUUAACCCCCUAAGCAGUAGGGUAACAGGAUGAAAAUUGCAGAUCUUAUCUCCAUGUAUCGGUUAUGGAGCAGAUCGAAAAUGGCGAGUCUUAUCUCCAUGUAUCGACUAUGAAGCAGAUUUAAGCCACCGGCCUUAUCUCUUUGAGGUAGCAACAGAGCAGGUUGAAGAUACAAGCCUUAACCCCCUAAGCAGUAGGGUAGCGGGCUGAAAAUUACAGAUCUUAUCUCCAUGUACUAGCUAUGGAGCAGAUCAGAAAUGGCGAGUCUUAUCUCCAUGUAUCGGUUAUGGAGUAGAUUUUAGCCACCAACCCUAUCUCUCUGAGGUAGCAAGAGAGUGAGUUGAAGUUACAGACUUUCCUAAAGCUGGUGUAAGUCUACUUGAAGAAGAUGAGCAACAAAGAAGUUAAGACUCAGCAAGACCAGGCAGAAUUGACCCAUUUGGAGUCUUUACUCUAUUCUCGUUACACGAUAAUGAGCAAAGAGGGGCAGUUGUAGAUGGCCCAUUUCGCCCGGGCCCAAACCAAUACUAAAAUUAAAAUAAAAUACCCUCAGACCCAAUUCAAUCAAGCUCAAUACAAACCCAAUCCUAAAACCCAUUUACAAUGUGGCCCAAUUGGCCCAAAGCUUAAACAACUUCAGAAAAAAAAAACCCUAAGCAGACCACCCUUGCGCCGCAGCCAGCAGCGCGCCUCCCCCGCACGUCGCGCGUUUCGUCCUUGUCAUACGCUCCUCCACCAAGGCACGUCAGAGACGUGCUCGAUUACGCACCUGCAAUAGUUGAAAACAGUUGUAAAAAUCGGCUAUAAGACUGAAUCAAAUCGUAUGUAAAUGAGUUUUAUUUUUCAGAGAAAAUAUUACGAAUACAAAGGAAAUACAGAGGAAAAGGAAAAACUUCAGAUCUAAAAUAUUUGGAAGGUGAUUUUUUUUAUUUUGGUUCUCUAUUCUUUCAUUUCAUCCUUUUUUGUGUUGUUCUUUUUAUUUUUUUUCAUACAAACGAAAAUAAAAAGGGAAGGAAAAAGACUUUACCUAAACCCCCAAUCGCAGAGCCGAAAAGUGGUUGAAAUUUAGCUCAAAAGUGGCGGUCGAACUGCUUCUCUUUGACCUGUAAAAGAAGAGCAAGAGGAAAGGGGGGAGUUUAAAAAGGGAUAAUCCCUUGUUUUUAAGCAAUAAUGAAAACAAGGUUUUAAUGUCCUUUUCUUUUUGGUUUUAAAAAACAAAUUAAAUGGCUUCAUUUAAGAAAAGGGCUCUGCCAUAGAUCUAAUCCAUGAGCGCAUUUUUACCCUAAAUGGGUAAAUUGCACAUCUGGUUCCUCACUUUUGCGUUAUUAUGUGAUUGGGCCCUUUUUGCGUGUCUUUUAUUUUUUAAAAUUUUCCCUGGGAUUUAUGUGCUAUUAUGAUUUGGUCCAUGUUGAAAUGCUGCGUUCAGGGGCAUGGGAUAAUUUCAUUUUUAUUCCCUAUAAGUUUGCGCGCAUUGUAUUAUAGUCCUCAGUGCUGU